CGUAGGGUGCGAGCAUUGUCCGGAAUUAUUGGGCGUAAAGAGCUCGUAGGCGGCCUGUCGCGUCGGAUGUGAAAGCCCGGGGCUUAACCCCGGGUCUGCAUUCGAUACGGGCAGGCUAGAGUUCGGUAGGGGAGAUCGGAAUUCCUGGUGUAGCGGUGAAAUGCGCAGAUAUCAGGAGGAACACCGGUGGCGAAGGCGGAUCUCUGGGCCGAUACUGACGCUGAGGAGCGAAAGCGUGGGGAGCGAACAGGAUU
rnacentral:rRNA from 1 species